rnacentral:rRNA from 1 species
AUUGAACGCUGGCGGCAGGCCUAACACAUGCAAGUCGAACGAGUAGCGGACGGGUGAGUAAUGUCUGGGAAACUGCCUGAUGGAGGGGGAUAAAUAAUGGAAACUGUAGCUAAUACCGCAUACCAUCAGCUGUGCCCAGAUGGGAUUAGCUGGUUGGUGGUGUAACGGGUCACCAGGGCGACGAUACCUCGCUGGUCUGAGAGGAUGACCAGCCACACGGGAACUGAGACACGGUCCAGACGCCUACGUGAGGCAGCAGUGGGGAAUAUUGCACAAUGGGCGCAAGCCGGAUGCAGCCAUGCCGCGUGUAUGAAGAAGUCCUUCGGUUUGUAAAGUACUUUCAGCGGGGAGGCGUUACCCGCAGAAUAAGCACCGGCUAACUCCGUGCCAGCAGCCGCGGUAAUUC